AUUGAACGCUGGCGGCAGGCUUAACACAUGCAAGUCAAGCGGGGGAAGGUAGCUUGCUACCGGACCUAGCGGCGGACGGGUGAGUAAUGCUUAGGAAUCUGCCUAUUAGUGGGGGACAACAUCUCGAAAGGGAUGCUAAUACCGCAUACGUCCUACGGGAGAAAGCAGGGGAUCUUCGGACCUUGCGCUAAUAGAUGAGCCUAAGUCGGAUUAGCUAGUUGGUGGGGUAAAGGCCUACCAAGGCGACGAUCUGUAGCGGGGCGGAGAGGAUGUACCGCCACACUGGGACUGGGACACGGCCCAGACUACUACGGGAGGCAGCAGUGGGGAAUAUUGGACAAUGGGGGGAACCCUGAUCCAGCCAUGCCGCGUGUGUGAAGAAGGCCUUAUGGUUGUAAAGCACUUUAAGCGAGGAGGAGGCUACUCUAGUUAAUACCUAGGGAUAGUGGACGUUACUCGCAGAAUAAGCACCGGCUAACUCUGUGCCAGCAGCCGCAGUAA
rnacentral:rRNA from 1 species